GGGGGGGGGGGGGGCACUUCCAUUACAAGGCGGACACCAUGCUCGUACAGAAAAGAACAUUAAAAAGGGGUUGUUUUUCACAGACAAUGUAUGCGCAUACAAUGAAAAGGGUAUCAAAAUUGACAAAAUCAGGGAAAAGGGUAUACUUUUACAACAGCUAAUUUACUUGUUUAGAGUGGGAAAACCUGACAAAAUACUUGUUUGGGUAUUCUGAGAUGAAGUCUAAUUACUUGUUUAGGGUCCAUUUUGAAAGUUCAUUUACAAGCAUGGUGUCCAACUUGUAAUGACAGAGCCCCCCCCCCCCCCCCCUGUAACAGUCGGCACUCCAUAGUUUUGGGGCGCUAGCGCUUCAUAAAAACAAACCAAGCAUGCACAUAAAUGUUCGAUGAUUUACGAACAAUGCUCGCCAAGGAAGCCAUCAAACCUUGAGCUUUUCAUCAGUUUAACGAUAUGGGAACAGUAUAAGGCUGUAACUGUAACAAGAUGUGCAUCAAGUUGAAAGUAAAUCGGUCUGUCUUUGAUGUCAGCACUCAGCAGGCACAGUGUUCUUACGGCUUUUGACAAGAAUAAACGUCUACAAGAAGCAUAGACUAUACAAGCCA